AUUGAACGCUGGCGGCAGGCCUAACACAUGCAAGUCGAACGAGUGGCGGACGGGUGAGUAAUGUCUGGGAAACUGCCUUAUGGAGGGGGAUAACUACUGGAAACGGUAGCUAAUACCGCAUACCAUCAGAUGUGCCCAGAUUGGAUUAGCUUGUCGGUGGGGUAACGGCUCACCAAGGCGCCGAUCCCUAGCUGGUCUGAGAGGAUGACCGACCACACUGGAAAUGAGACACGGUCCAGAGUCCUACGAGAGGCAGAAGUGGGGAAUAUUGCACAAUGGGCGCAAGCCUGAAGCAGCCAUGCCGCGUGUGUGAAGAAGGCCUUCGGGUUGUAAAGUACUUUUAGCGGGGAGGCGUUACCCGCAGAAGAAGCACGGGCUAACUCCGUGCCAGCAGCCGCGGUAAUUC
rnacentral:rRNA from 1 species